rnacentral:rRNA from 2 species
AAUACCGCAUAACAACUUGGACCGCAUGGUCCGAGUUUGAAAGAUGGCUUCGGCUAUCACUUUUGGAUGGUCCCGCGGCGUAUUAGCUAGAUGGUGGGGUAACGGCUCACCAUGGCAAUGAUACGUAGCCGACCUGAGAGGGUAAUCGGCCACAUUGGGACUGAGACACGGCCCAAACUCCUACGGGAGGCAGCAGUAGGGAAUCUUCCACAAUGGACGAAAGUCUGAUGGAGCAACGCCGCGUGAGUGAAGAAGGGUUUCGGCUCGUAAAACUCUGUUGUUAAAGAAGAACAUAUCUGAGAGUAACUGUUCAGGUAUUGACGGUAUUUAACCAGAAAGCCACGGCUAACUACGUGCCAGCAGCCGCGGUAAUACGUAGGUGGCAAGCGUUGUCCGGAUUUAUUGGGCGUAAAGCGAGCGCAGGCGGUUUUUUAAGUCUGAUGUGAAAGCCUUCGGCUCAACCGAAGAAGUGCAUCGGAAACUGGGAAACUUGAGUGCA